CCCUAGUGCCUCUGCCCUGAGCUGCCACACACCUGUGCGGGACUGUACUUUGAUGGAUGACAGGACCCACUUGGACACCCGCAGCUGGAGGCACUGAAACUAAUUUCCAUGGAGAUCCAGCUAUCUGAAGACCUAGAAGCUUCCCUUCUGCAAGGCAGCAAGCCCAGCUCCCAGCCUUCACUCCUGCAGAGAGACCCUUUGUCAUGCAAAUGAUGGUUCUACCCCCACAGACACCCCCACCCACAGCUGAGAGUGACGCCCCCGCCCAGGUCCCCUUUUGGGAGAUCGGCACUGCACCGGGAGCAGAACUGACAGCCUCAGCUACUACAAAGACACUUCCACAGAAGCUGCUGUGAGUUCCUGCCCCGCUCGACCCCUUCUCCUGGGUAGCGCCUUCAGUCCUGGGUUCUUGAGCCCGGUCCUGGCUGCAGAUGUGAUAAGCUGCCUGGCCUUGACCAGGUCACUCCCGCAGGCCACAGCCAUGACACCUGGGACAGGAGAACUAAUGCCCUGUGCCUUCCAGGAGAGGUGUGGGCACCGCGGAGCAGCCCUAGCCUCCAGGCGCAGCCCCUGCGCCUCGUGCCAGGCGGCUCCAUCAGUACCAGUGUCCGCACUCUUUCCCCCAGUCCUCCUCUGCUUUCUCCAGUCCCGUCUGGAGACAGACUCAAAUAAGGCAGCAGUGGACUCAGCUUGAACAAGCCCCUGCUGGCAGGUUAACCUGGAGGCACUAACCCAUGCGGAACUAAAAAUAAAGAAAAAGGCUCCAUCGUAGGAUGAAGUUUCUCAGCCUUGGCACUGCUGACAUUUGGGGUCCAAUCAUUCUUUGUUGGGGGGUGUCCUGGGCACUGUGGCAUGUUCAGCAACCUACCGGGCCUCUGCCCACUAGGUGCCAACACACCCCUAGAUCCUACCAAAGGUCCCACUGGAGGAAGGGAAGGAGGCAGUCAGCCCGGAAGCAAAUAACUGCCGUACCGAAGGAGUUGUUCAGUAUUAAAGGCGAUAAAGAUACUAACUGUGACACCUAACAACAACCAAAAGCAGGAAAUCCUCAUUUCCUCCUCAGGAAGAAGCCUCUCCCCACAAAUCUGUACAAACAUCACCUGGCCAGUAUGCAGAGAAAGUCUCCACCCACCCAGAGUUGGAGGUUUACUUGGAUUUCACAGCUGGAAUGAAGCACUUUGAAUCUGGAAGGCACAAGCCUAUAGGAGUAAAGAACGAUGAUGGUAAAUGACACCCACCACAGACCAAACUUUGUGCUACAAAACUGGUGAAGAAGAGGUUACAAUGAACAUUCUACAGCACGGGCAGAAGAGAGACGUGCGAAGCCAACGGAAAGCUGCAUGACUCCUCUAUGUAGACACGGUGCCAGUCUCGCCAUCUUUGACCUACUGUAGUCAGACUCCUGCUGGUACCCUACCUACCAAAAUAAUCUGAAAAUCAUGGAGAAAAGCCUUUGAAACCAGCCAGAUGGGUUUAUAGGAGGACUAAAAUGGAAGAAAAGAGAGAGAAAGAGGACAGCUGCAUAAAAGGUUGCUGGCAGUUUGCAGUUUCUGAAGGUGGUACCUCUAUAGCAGAAGCCUUCUCUGAAUAUUCCAUGAGAAUAUCUACCCAGACUUCAUUUUCUUUUGAAAAAUUAAUGGAAACAGGCUGUUUAGUUACCCAAAGCACAAAAACAGCCAUAAACAACAUAUGAAUGAAUGAGUGUGGCUAUGUUCAACAAUACUUGAUUCCAAAAAUGGGCAGCUGGCCCAUGGGCCAUGUUUACCGAUCCUGCAUCUAGGACAUGAAGAUGAACCAGCAAAGGAGACUGAGAAGUAGCAGCCCGUGAGUGGGAGCCACUUGAGGUAAGAUGCAAGCUUGGGUUGUUCUUGUCUUCCACACGGUGCUCACCUUGUGCCUCACACACACUGGGACUCAGCUGUUUGCACGUGCUGAUUGAAAGAUAAAAGCAACCAGGAAGACCAAAGGGGAAAGGACAAGAGCAAAUGGGACAACUGUCUGAAGGUUGGCCUUGAGAGCCUCAGAACUGGAGCGUCACUGGAGAGCCCCACAGGUGAGAGAUGUAGGCAUCGACAGUUAAUGUGAAAAUCUCCUGGAAGUUUUUAGCUGUGGAAAUGCUGCCGUGGAGAUGCUGUUAGGUUAGAUUCUGGCCAGACUUUGCUUCAGCGAUAUUAGAAUUUCCACCGAGAAAGCAAAUUUGUGCUGCUUAACACACUCCUACAAGAAAUUUUGUGAUAUUUUAUACAUAUUUUACAUCCAUUAUAGGCAGUCAGAAUCUAUUCCAUAGAUGGCACUUUCCAACAAACCAUGCUGAAUUCUUCAGACACUCAUUAUUUACCAGAACACAUAAAAAGUCCUAAAGCCCGUAUCUGCCUCCAGACUGUUCAGACCACCUCACUUCCCUCUCUCUCCUAUUUCGCAUCCCCCAUCCGGUCAUUCCCCUCAAGGUCCCGGGAACACAUCUGAGGCCUCCCCAUCACUGACAUUGCUCUUCACCAGGAUGCCCUCCCUACUGGCUAAUUUAGGGAUUAAUUCUGUAUCAUUUCAAAUUAUUCUCUGUUUACAUAUUCCAGUCAAACCAAACUGCAGUGUCAGCUGAAACAGAGACUGGUCAAUGGCCUGCGGUGGUUAAGGGAACAGAUGCUAGAGUCAACCGCCUGUGUUACAAUCCAGGUCUUGUUAAGUAGCCAGACACUUAACCUCUCUGUGCUUUGAUUCCUCAUCUGUAAAUGAGGAUGAAGAUGCUAACAGCCAACAAUAACCUUACUGAGAAGGUUUGUUGGAAGGAUUAAAAGAGUUGCAAUAUGGGAAAUAUUUAAAAGAAUGCAUGGUCCCUAAUACUGUAUAGGUGUUCAUGCUUAUUAUCUCCCACAUCACUUAGCACCCUGGUGAAUAUGUGGUUUUAUCAGUAAAGACAUGUUCAUCAUGUCUAUAACUUUUUCUUGCAUAUGCAGUACAUAUACAAUGUAUAACAAUUAGAAAAUGCUUCUAUGAUAUAGCAAAUAUAUAUGAUAAAAGAAAAAUGCUAGCAAUACCACUGCCCAGAGGUACUACUAUUAGUAUUUUCACUUACUUCAUUCAUUACUUAAACAACAUUUACUUAGCAUCUAAUAUAUGAACGGCUUCAAGCUCUUACUGGAGCUGUAACAGUGAGCAAAAACAGACAUAAUUCUAGUCUCAUGGAGUAUAUAGUCUAGUGUGGGAGAGACAAACCUUCAUCAAGUAAUGAUACAAAAUGCAUGUCCAGCUGCAGCUGUGAUAAAUGCUUCAAGGAGUCGUUCAUGUGUAAUAAGGAGAUCUGAUCUAGUUGCAAAGGUCUGUACUCUGCUGGCUGUGAGCCAGUGACUACUGAGCUAAGAAUGAAUUUAUAGGAAUUAACUUGAAGAAGUCAGAAGGGAAGAGGGCGCCCAACAGAAGCACAGUAAAUCCAAAGGGAAGUCCAUGCUCUGGGAGGGCUCAGUGGUGAGCAGAAGGAACUAAGGGUCCCAUGUGCACUAGAGUGCAGUGUGGUGUGCGCUACACAAAGCUGGGAAGUCAGGGAAAGCGCAGACCUGGCAGAGCUAAGUACCCUUAGUUUAGAAAUUAUAUUCUGAACCAAAUUAUAUUCUAAAUUUAUUGAAUGUUACCUGUGAGGAGCCAAGUACACGUUUCAUUUACAUAAACUGGACUUAUACCAUAAUCUGCUUUUAUUAGGAUAUUUUUGAACAAUAAAUAUACAGUAAUUUCUUAUUGUUGGAAAUAUAGAUUGUUUCCAACUUUCCACUGUUACUAACAAAGCUGCGACAAAUAUUUUUGUAUAUGGACAAUUGUCCAAAUAUUUAUUGGCAUAAACUCCUGCAAGUGGACUUACUGGUUCUGCAAAUUUGUUAAUAUAUUUUAAUCAUAAUUUUGUCUGGAAAAUCGGCAUAUUCAACUGUUAGGAUUUGAUGCUGUAUGAUGCUAUGGUCUUUUGAGGUUGGUACCAGUUACAAUUGGAGGCAUUGUUGGUGACUCUCAGAACCUGCUUCUUCAUUUUCUUCACUGUGAGAAAAUGUUUUCUAUUUCUGAUCCCAUGGGUACUUCCACAAAUUCAGAUCACUCACUAACGACUGCCAAGAAAACAUCCUUAACUACAGGUCUAGAAGCCUGACAGUCCCACUCCUGGUCUCCAUAGGAGAGGAAAGACUCUCCUAUCUGCCUCUGAAGGGUCUUCCUCCGGACUUGGGACAUACUGGAAGAGCGGGCAUUGUCUGAUAUUCUUUCCUCUGCCCUGGCCACCUGCUUUGUCCAGUUCCAUUUUCAUGCAGUAAAUUCACUAAAGGCAGAUGAAGCUCAGAUUGUUCUGUUAGACCAAGUUUCUCUAUCCUGAGUUGACAACUGCCAUCUUCUCAAAAGUCUUGGUCUUCCAUCGAUCCCUUUCAACAUUGUGGAUAAAAUGAGAGUUCUUGUGGCCAGGAUUCUCACCUGGCCCUGAUUGACUAGCUCACUGAACACCUGUGGGCAAUUUGACUCUGUAUAAAGAG